rnacentral:rRNA from 1 species
GAUGAACGCUGGCGGCGUGCCUAAUACAUGCAAGUCGAGCGAACAGACGAGGAGCUUGCUCCUCUGACGUUAGCCGCGGACGGGUGAGUAACACGUGGAUAACCUACCUAUAAGACUGGGAUAACUUCGGGAAACCGGAGCUAAUACCGUAUAAUAUAUUGAACCGCAUGGUUCAAUAGUGAAAGACGGUUUUGCUGUCACUUAUAGAUGGAUCCGCGCCGCAUUAGCUAGUUGGUAGGGUAAAGGCUUACCAAGGCGACGAUGCGUAGCCGACCUGAGAGGGUGAUCGGCCACACUGGAACUGAGACACGGUCCAGACUCCUACGGGAGGCAGCAGUAGGGAAUCUGCCGCAAUGGGCGAAAGCCUGACGGAGCAACGCCGCGUGAGUGAUGAAGGUCUUCGGAUCGUAAAACUCUGUUAUUAGGGAAGAACAAAUGUGUAAGUAACUAUGCACGUCUUGACGGUACCUAAUCAGAAAGCCACGGCUAACUACGUG